GAGCUUUUAAAGUUCUUAAAACGGAAAUCGUCACUUUCUGAAGAAGGCGUUUGAUCACAAGUAUAUUAAAGUAAAUACACAUAAAGGGACAUUUGACAUAGCAUCGUAUAUGAUCAGUGAUCUACGAGAUUUCCACAUCAUAAAAGCUGUAAAUUGUUCUGGGAACCACUAUCAUGAAGAUGCCAAUACUAUCCAGUAUCAUCUGGCUGGUUAUAACUGUGGAUCUUGCACUUUCAGUACCAACUGCCUACAGACAAAAAAGAUGGGAUUGGUUUUCGAGGGCAAGUGAAUUGUAUAAUAAUGUCAGAGACCACAUAAGUGAUUCCGUUGACACCGUUGGAGAUUUGGCUGAUACUAUAGGUGUCCAUGCACGGGAACACCUUAAUCUGGCUGCAGACCAUUUAGAAGACAUAGGCGUCCCACGUGAAAGAAUUGAUGAAGCAGGCGAAAGACUGAAUAAUAUAACAAGUCAGGUGGUUCAAAGAGGACAGGAAAUAAUUGAGAAUGGCAAAAAUGAACUUUCCAGAGUAGCAGAACACCCAAUGAACAAAGCAAGGGAAACCAUCGAAAACAAUAGAGAUGUUCUUGAGACCAGUCAUAAGCAUAUUUCGAGAGUAGCCGAUUCUAUGGCAGACAUGUUCGGCCAUUUUCGGGAUUUGGUCAAUAACCGACGGAAUCGACAAGAACCAUCAAGCAAUUAUAGAUUGACACAAAUCACUGACGAUGACGAAAAUGUGAUACACUAAGCAUUUUAACUAUGAAAUCCGUAUAUUAGUUGUAUUCAACAAAUUUAUAAAUUAUAUUAGUUUUCUCUACCCUAUCAAUGAAAUCAUUCAAUUAUAUUGUAUUUUAGAAAUUCAGAAAUACAGCCUUCCACAAUAAUUGCCACUCUUGUAAA